UACGUAGGGUGCAAGCGUUGUCCGGAAUUAUUGGGCGUAAAGAGCUCGUAGGCGGCUCAGAAAGUCGGGUGUGAAACCUCCAGGCUCAACCUGGAGACGCCACCUGAUACUGCUGUGGCUAGAGUCCGGUAGGGGAGCACGGAAUUCCCGGUGUAGCGGUGAAAUGCUUAGAUAUCGGGAGGAACACCAGCGGCGAAGGCGGCGCUCUGGGCCGGAACUGACGCUGAGGAGCGAAAGCGUGGGGAGCAAACAGG
rnacentral:rRNA from 1 species